GCAAACAUUUGAUUGUCUCUUGCAUAAACUGACUCUGAACCCAUUAAAACGUGACAACAACUGCAGCACUGACCCUGUUUAAAGGCAUCUCAUAUUUUUAGAAAUGAAAUAGAGGAAGGAAAAUAUCUUCUAUAAUGGAACCAGUGUUGACAUGCAAACCUUUAGAAUUUCCAGCCAUGCUUCACUAAAAUCUGCCUCUAAAUAUAUGGUAGGGAAGUCAAAUCAUUCCAGUUCAUAUCUCUCUUCACAUACCCUGAAGUGAUUUCUCCUGCAUCAGUCUUUGCAUUUCUUUUGUUAUGUUUCUGUUGGACAACACUGUUCUGGAACUUCAAGAGUGGAAUGGAAGUCUGAGAUGUACCAAAUCUACACCUUGUCCCAUACACUCACAGAGAACAAUAAAAGCAAGUGCUUAGUUAUCUUUCAAGCUGUGCU